UAACAGGAGUUUGCAAAACUGCAAAUCCUUUCAUGAGUCUGCAGUUGUUCAGUUUGGAUUUAAUUCAUGAUUUGUUUUUAUAAAAUCAAAUGUAAAGAUGAUGCCUGCUAAUGGGCGAGGACGUGCUGUCUAGUGCAGCAUUACUGUAGCUGCCUACAUGCCUGGAAGCUCAGUUUACUGUCUGCCUUUAAUCCACAGGAAUCAAACGAUUCCAGGGAGAUGCUGAUUUACAGAUGAACACAAAGCUGCGUCCAAUCUGCUGAUGCUGAUGUAAAACCACGUCAGGUGGAGUUUCAUGUCACUUGCAGAAAGAAGCUGUGCAGAUUUAGCCGCAGGCAGCCAUGACGUGAUGUGCAUCAGACAAACUGCAAUGACAGCAAAUCUUGAACUUCCACUAGAAAAGGUCUCUAUAAGCUGCUGGGAGGAGUUUUACCAAAUGAACUCAGCAGGAUGUCUCAUGACUGGAAUCUGCUCCAAGGUUAAUAAAGAUCAACUCUUUGUU